rnacentral:rRNA from 1 species
GAGUUUGAUCCUGGCUCAGGAUGAACGCUAGCGGCAGGCUUAAUACAUGCAAGUCGAGGGGCAGCAGGUCCCGCAGCAAUGCGGGAUGCUGGCGACCGGCAAACGGGUGCGGAACACGUACGCAACUUUCCUUCAAGUGAGGAAUAGCCCAGGGAAACUUGGAUUAAUACCUCGUAAUAUUAUGAAGUGGCAUCACUUUAUAAUUAUAGCUCCGGCGCUUGAAGAUGGGCGUGCGCCUGAUUAGGUAGUUGGCGGGGUAACGGCCCACCAAGCCUACGAUCAGUAACUGGUGUGAGAGCACGACCAGUCACACGGGCACUGAGACACGGGCCCGACUCCUACGGGAGGCAGCAGUAAGGAAUAUUGGGCAAUGGACGCAAGUCUGACCCAGCCAUGCCGCGUGGAGGAUGAAGGUCCUCUGGAUUGUAAACUUCUUUUAUCUGGGAAGAAAUCCAUAUUUUCUAAUGUGGUUGACGGUACCAGAUGAAUAAGCACCGGCUAACUCCGUGCCAGCAGCCGCGGUAAUACGGAGGGUGCAAGCGUUAUCCGGAUUCACUGGGUUUAAAGGGUGCGUAGGUGGGCAGGUAAGUCAGUGGUGAAAUCUCCGGGCUUAACUCGGAAACUGCCGUUGAUACUAUCUGUCUUGAAUAUCGUGGGGGUUUAGCGGAAUAUGUCAUGUAGCGGUGAAAUGCUUAGAUAUGACAUAGAACACCGAUUGC